CAAGCGGAACAACAGUCCAAAUGCUUAAACCUGGGAUGAGCAGAAAGGUUGCAGUGAGUGCAGGAAGCCCGUGCCCUUGGACUACCUGGAGAGUCCCAGCCCAGAGGGAAAACAUCCAGCAGAGGAAGCUUCAGGCUUUGUGAGAUGAGGAGAUGGUGCCCACAACCAGGACUGCGACCCAGAUGUAAACACAGCUGAUGUGUGUGUGGCACCAAGGAACCGGGUUGUGGUUGCAUUUUCUGCUCUGGUCCUUCCUCUGACUAAACCAAGGCCUGAUCCAACAGCCAGGUGGACCAGAGCACACCUACAUGCAGUGGAGCAAGAAAAAGAAUAGAGAGCUACAGUGCUCAAGAGGAUGGAUGCAUUUCUCCAUGAAGAGAGACUAAAAAAGCCUGGGACUCCUCAAUCCGGAGAGGAGAAGAGAGAGGGGGAUGCACUCCAGGUUUCCAGCAUCAUGAAGGCUUGGCCAAGAGAAAAACAUGAAGCAGAGUGUCGCUGAAGCUGUAAACAGGGCAGGAGCAGAUGUUCCUUCCCUUCUGCAGAGAAUGCGAGGCAAAGGAGAGAGAAAAAAAAAGGGGAGAGAGCCAGAGCUGCCCAGGAGGGAGGAAUGAAGUGUGGUGUGAUCCAGUUUGGAAGGAGCUGAGAGGAUCUUGCCUGCUUAAAUUAAAGUACAGCUUGAUAAAUCUUGACUGUGCCUGUUUUCUGCGUGGGGCCCCUGGAAAUCCUGAGGAUAAGACGGACACCUAGGAGAAAAUAAUGGAAAGCAAGCCAGGAAAGAAUGUUUUUCCCCUGAAUUAAGACUUCCUAGGCACUGGGUGACUUGACCUUCACAACCCAACCAGUGCAUCCACCUUCAGAAGUUCAUGCUUGGCUCUGUAAAGCACUCCAAAUCCAAGAGUUGAUGAUCCUGGAAGCAACGACAUGAGGGGUGUUCACCCAACAGUUGUCCUGAAGGCUCUCUGCGUGGCACAAAACACACGUCUG